GAUAGUUUGUAUGUAAUAGGUGUGCAUUGGCUUUGUAAGCUUACAUCGUGUUGGUGGUUAUUGACUUAUUGUCUUAAGGCUAAGUUAAAUCAAACAGAAAAUUUUCAAACAAUACUAAAGAAGGUUUAAAUAGCGUGGUUGUUACAAACUUCUUGUUAUAUAUGUGUAGCUUAAUUAAAGGUUUUAUUCGAGAUAAACAUCUACGUCACAGCUUGACAUCACUUCAUUCUUUUGUUUUGCCAAAACGUCACUUUAUUCUGUCUUUUUCUUUUCUUACGUAAUACUUUUUAAAAGAAAAAAUCUCAUAAGCCGCCGAUGGACAGAAACAAAAAUAUGUAGCAAAGAUAAAGAAGAGUUAAAAAAAAAAAAAAAAAGUGAGAUAAAGAUUAAGAGAGUAUGGAGUGGCAGAAAAAACAAUGAGAGUCGGCAGGUGUGAUAUUCAAAGUAGAGAGAGAAAGUAGCGAAAGAGAGAGAAAGUAGAUCUCCGGCGAUCGGCCGGCGCGUGAGCGUGCGUGCCGUCGCCGGAGACCGUCAUCCUUCAGAUAAAAGUCCCCGUUUGUGUUUCACUUUCGUUUCUGACGGCUUCCGCCUUGUUUGAGCUCUGGUCAGUCACCCUUGGUGGUGGUUCUGUCACUGGUGUGAAGACGCGGAGGUCUGAAGGGAGGAGAGGUGAAGCGGUUUGUGUUUUCGGUCCCGGGAGGUGGAGGCUCAGUUAGUUCCGCCGACGCCGGUUUCAGUCGCUGAGAGGCGGAAGUUACUAUAACUUCGCCGUCGUCAGUUCAAGUUCCCGGGAGGUUAAGGCUCCGUCAGUCUUACUUCGUCGGCUUCUGUGUCUCGAAGGGGUUUGGUUGCUCGAGUAUGGGCUCUGGUCAUGGAGCGGAAGAGGUUUCAUCGGGUUGUGAAUUUUAGGGUUGUAGAUUCGCCGUCGGUGGAGCUCUCCAUAGCGGGAUGAUGCUCUCCGACAGGUUCUCAGUGUGGUGAAGAAGAGAUGUGGUUUCGGUGGAGGCUCGAAGGGAUUCAGAGCUCCGGCGAACCGAGAUUUUCAGUGGUUGGGUACGGCGGCUUGGGAAGGCGGUGACGGUCGGGUCGAGGCGGAGCGACGCGUGGCGCACUGACGGUCAAGAUCUUCACACGUGGCGCGCUUCAGCUUCCUCGACGCCCGCGUUCCCAGAGUCGGUCGGUGAUGGGUUCGAGUAGGUGGGCUUGGGCCGGGGUUGCCAAUUUGGGCUUAGGGUUUGGUGUGUUUUGUUUGGUUGGCCGAUUAGUAGUAAUGUGGGCCUUUGUAUGUGGGCUUCGGCCAUUGGGC
rnacentral:lncRNA from 1 species